AACGUGGCUGGCGACGUCGCCGAGUCAUGCCUGCCUGCUGCCGCUUGUAGCUGUGGCCGGUUUUCUUUCCCUCUCCCGUUCCAUUGCAAAGCGUAGGCGCGUUCAGAGAGAAGGACUAAAAACAAAGUGGGGCGGAAGAGAUAAAGCUUUCUCUGUUGAAAUUGAGACAUUGGCCUAGAAGUGACAGAUUAAGCCCACAGAACUGGAUACAUCAAUCAAUGAAACAAAAUCAGCAGGAAAAACAAAGUCAUGAGUGCAGUACUCCAGAGAAUACCCAACACAAAACAGGAUAAUCUAUGUGCUCAGAAUUUUAUGAACAUCAUCUUCCAGUCUAUUGAAGAAUCCUCCAUCAUGUGAUAAAGUCUGAGAAGAACUCAAUUCCUGUCAAAAAUGAAUUAAGACUUACUAUCAAUCAACACAAAAGUGCAUGCAUGCAUUUAAUAAA